rnacentral:rRNA from 1 species
CCUACGGGAGGCUGCAGUAGGGAAUAUUGCUCAAUGGGCGCAACCCUGAACCAGCAACGCCGCGUGGAGGAUGAAGGUUCUAUGAUUGUUAACUCCCUUUGUUAGAGAAGAUUAUGACGGUAUCUAACGAAUUAGCACAGGCUAACUCCGUGCCGGCAGCCGCGGUAAUACGGAGGGUGCAAGCGUUACUCGGAAUCACUGGGCGUAAAGAGUGCGUAGGCGGGGUAAUAAGUCAGAUGGGAAAUCCUGUAGCUUAACUACAGAACUGCAUUUGAAACUGUUACUCUGGAGUGUGGGAGAGGUAGGUGGAAUGCUUGGUGUAGCGGUAAAAUGCGUAGAGAUCAAGAGGAAUACUGAUUGCGAAGGCGACCUGCUGGAACAUUACUGACGCUGAUGCACGAAAGCGUGGGGAGCAAACAGGAUUAGAUACCCCUGUAGUC